GACGAACGCUGGCGGCGUGCUUAGCACAUGCAAGUCGAACGGUGAAGGGGUCUGCUUUUGUGGGCCCUGGAUGAGUGGCGAACGGGUGAGUAACACGUGAGUAACCUGCCCCCUUCUUCUGGAUAACCGCAUGAAAGUGUGGCUAAUACGGGAUAUUCUGGGUCUGUCGCAUGAUGGGUCUGGGAAAGAUUGCGCCUUUGGGUGUUUUUGGUGGGGAUGGGCUCGCGGCCUAUCAGCUUGUUGGUGGGGUGAUGGCCUACCAAGGCGGUGACGGGUAGCCGGCCUGAGAGGGUGGACGGUCACACUGGGACUGAGACACGGCCCAGACUCCUACGGGAGGCAGCAGUGGGGAAUAUUGCACAAUGGGCGCAAGCCUGAUGCAGCGACGCCGCGUGAGGGAUGGAGGCCUUCGGGUUGUAAACCUCUUUCGCCAGUGAAGCAGGCCUGCUCCUUGUGGGUGGGUUGACGGUAGCUGGAGAAGAAGCGCCGGCUAACUACGUG
rnacentral:rRNA from 1 species